CCUACGGGAGGCAGCAGUGAGGAAUAUUGGUCAAUGGACGAGAGUCUGAACCAGCCAAGUAGCGUGAAGGAUGAGUGCCCUAUGGGUUGUAAACUUCUUUUAUAAAGGAAUAAAACGAGGCACGUGUGCCGUUUUGCAUGUACUUUAUGAAUAAGGAGCGGAUAACUCCGUGCCAGCAGCCGCGGUAAUACGGAGGAUCCGAGCGUUAUGCGGAUUUAUUGGGGUUACAGGGAGCGUAGAUGGGUUGUUAAGUCAGUUGUGACAGUUUGCGGCUCAACCGUAAAAUUGCACUUGAUACUGGCAGUCUUGAGUACAGUUGCGGUCGGCGGACUUCGUGGUGUAGCGGUGAUAUGCUUCGAUAUCACGA
rnacentral:rRNA from 1 species